rnacentral:rRNA from 1 species
GAUAAACGCUGGCGGCGUGCCUAAUACAUGCAAGUCGAACGAGGGCACUCACGUAGCAAUACGAGGGUGUUCCUAGUGGCGAACGGGUGAGUAACACGUUGGUGACCUGCCCCGAAGUGAGGGAUAACACCGCGAAAGUGGUGCUAAUACCCCAUGUGACCCGAGGGAUUAGAUGCCCUUGGUGGAAAGGCGAAAGCCGCUUCGGGAGGGGCCUGCGGCCCAUCGGCGAGUUGGCAGGGUAAUGGCCUAUCAAGGCGACGACGGGUAGGGGUCCUGAGAGGGUGGCCCCCCACACUGGCACUGAAACACGGGCCAGACACCUACGGGUGGCAGCAGUAGGGAAUAUUGGACAAUGGGCGAAAGCCUGAUCCAGCAACGCCGCGUGCGCGAUGACGGCCUUCGGGUUGUAAAGCGCUUUUCGGGGGGAUGAGGAAGGACAGUACCCCCGGAAUAAGUCUCGGCUAACUACGUGCCAGCCGCCGCAGUAAAAC